rnacentral:rRNA from 1 species
CCUACGGGAGGCAGCAGUGAGGAAUAUUGGACAAUGGGCGCAAGCCUGAUCCAGCCAUGCCGCGUGCAGGGAGAAGCAUCUAUGGUGUGUAAACUGCUUUUGUACAGGAAGAAACACUCCCUCGUGAGGGAGCUUGACGGUACUGUAAGAAUAAGGAUCGGCUAACUCCGUGCCAGCAGCCGCGGUAAUACGGAGGAUCCAAGCGUUAUCCGGAAUCAUUGGGUUUAAAGGGUCCGUAGGCGGUUUGGUAAGUCAGUGGUGAAAGCCCAUCGCUCAACGGUGGAACGGCCAUUGAUACUGCUAGACUUGAAUUAUUGUGAAGUAACUAGAAUAUGUAGUGUAGCGGUGAAAUGCUUAGAGAUUACAUGGAAUACCAAUUGCGAAGGCAGGUUACUAACAAUAUAUUGACGCUGAUGGACGAAAGCGUGGGGAGCGAACAGGAUUAGAUACCCUGGUAGUCCACGCCGUAAACGAUGGAUACUAGCUGUUGGGAGUAAUCUCAGUGGCUAAGCGAAAGUGAUAAGUAUCCACCUGGGGAGUACGUUGCAAGAAUUGAAACUUCAAAGAGUAGUUAGGACGNGNGAGAGCGACGAGACGACGACGGAGGAGGAGG